AUUGAACGCUGGCGGCAUGCUUUACACAUGCAAGUCGAACGGUAACAGGUCUUUCGGGAUGCUGACGAGUGGCGAACGGGUGAGUAAUGUAUCGGAACGUGCCCAGUAGUGGGGGAUAACUACUCGAAAGAGUGGCUAAUACCGCAUGAGAUCUCUGGAUGAAAGCGGGGGACCGUAAGGCCUCGCGCUACUGGAGCGGCCGAUAUCAGAUUAGGUUGUUGGUGAGGUAAAGGCUCACCAAGCCGACGAUCUGUAGCUGGUCUGAGAGGACGACCAGCCACACUGGGACUGAGACACGGCCCAGACUCCUACGGGAGGCAGCAGUGGGGAAUUUUGGACAAUGGGCGCAAGCCUGAUCCAGCAAUGCCGCGUGCAGGACGAAGGCCUUCGGUUGUAACUGCUUUGUACGGAACGAAAGACCUUCUUCUAAUACAGGAGGGUCAUGACGGUACCGUAAGAAUAAGCACCGGCUAACUACGUG
rnacentral:rRNA from 1 species